rnacentral:lncRNA from 1 species
AGUAGCUGCUGUGGGAGCCGAGAGAGGGAAUGAAGAAGGAAACCAGGAACCUUUUAUGAAUAAGGCCCUUUGUAAAUAUUCUGCCCGGAGUUCCUCCCACUACCUCAACAUUAAAAUAGAUGAAGAAUUCGAAAACCAAGAAGUUCAGACGUUAGGAUUCAGGGUUGGAAUAUCACCAGUCUUAACUGGAGAGGGCAAGACUAGCAGUUUUUGCAAGACCAAGACCGUGUACCCUUCUACUCGGAAGUCAGAGUUGGUGCCACCUAAGUGGGUUCCUGAUGCAGGGGAUUUGAGGACAUCCUCUUCCUUCAACUUCUGAACUCUUCUUGUUGCAAGAAACCGAAAUCCAGUUCAAAGUGACUUAAGCAAAAGGAUUUCCCAGGGAAGAAGUUAACUUCAAGCCUAUGGCUGUAUGGAAUUCCCUUGUGGUGCAUUGGGUUAAGAAUCCAACAUUAUCGCUGCUGCAGUUUGGG